rnacentral:rRNA from 1 species
GACGAACGCUGGCGGCGUGCUUAACACAUGCAAGUCGAACGGAAAGGCCCUGCUUUUGUGGGGUGCUCGAGUGGCGAACGGGUGAGUAACACGUGAGUAACCUGCCCUUGACUUUGGGAUAACUUCAGGAAACUGGGGCUAAUACCGGAUAGGAGCUCCUGCUGCAUGGUGGGGGUUGGAAAGUUUCGGCGGUUGGGGAUGGACUCGCGGCUUAUCAGCUUGUUGGUGGGGUAGUGGCUUACCAAGGCUUUGACGGGUAGCCGGCCUGAGAGGGUGACCGGCCACAUGGGGACGGAGAUACGGCCCAGACUCCUACGGGAGGCAGCAGUGGGGAAUAUUGCACAAUGGGCGGAAGCCUGAGGCAGCAACGCCGCGUGCGGGAGGACGGCCUUCGGGUUGGAAACCGCUUUCGCCUGUGACGAAGCGUGAGUGACGGGAAUGGGUAAAGAAGCACCGGCUAACUACGG